UGAGGAGAGCACUCAAGGGUUUGCGUGCUUGGAUUACCGGUCAAAGGAAAGAUCAGUCUCCGGGAACUAGGUCGGAGGUUCCUGUUGUUCAAGUGGACCCUGUUUUUGAAGGAAUGGAUGGUGGGAUUGGUAGCUUGGUGAAGUGGAACCCAGUCUCCAAUGUUGAUGGUAAAGACAUUUGGAAUUUCCUCCGGGCGAUGAAUGUGCCUGUCAAUUCUUUGCAUACCCAAGGAUAUGUGUCUAUCGGUU
rnacentral:lncRNA from 1 species